UUUCUGUUCGAUAUGCCACUCUGCCCCUCUUUCCCUUGGACCUGGGGAUGCAAAGGAACCUUGUUCUUAUCAGCCCUGGUACUGGCCCUCAGGGUUUCCUUAUACCCACAUGUGACAUCAGGAGUCUCUCCAUGAAACUCGCCUUGACUGUGACUAACCUGAAGGGCAUGUCUUCUCCCAGGAACAAGACUGAAGCCACUCCCUUUGCCUGAGAUGCUGCUGCUUGCUCCAAAAGAGGGCGGGAGUCCAGCUUUGAAGUUCUUGUCUUCUGGUUGGAAUUUCUGUUGGUAGCAUAAUUGAGAACGAAGUACUAGUUAAAAUAAAUUACCCUGGGGACAAUAGGUCCUGAAGGAAUAAAGGGAAAUGUUGCAAGGAGAUUUCAGCCCUAGAGAUGAACAAAUCCUAAGGGAAGAGCUGACAAACGGAAUCAGGAGCCACCUACCUCAGUUCUCAUACCUCCCCAAAUCCCCGUACCACAUCUUCCUCCCUGUCUAGCACCUCCAGGCUCCCUCCGCUGCCACCCCCCAGGACUCCUGAGAGCAGAUCUGGGACCACACUGGCUCUGGGGCAGGCGGGGCUGGGAAUGACUGACGAAGAGCAGAACAGAUGUUCAACUUCACCGGUAACCGAAGAAAGGAAAUUAAAUAGCAAUAAUGGUUUUAAAGAAAUGAGGAAUGCUUUCUAAGCCAGGACACAGUUUUAGAUUCACAGGUUUAGUGAAAAGACUUCUGGUGUCAGCUCAGAGAUGUAGAGAACCGGAAAGGACAAAGGGGGAGAAGGGGGGAGGGCACAGGGCUGUCCUGGAAUCUGGGAGAAGCAGGCCUUUGUAAAGGAGACACGGGAUCCAAGAAUUUUGCUCAUUUACUACCCCGGGGCCGAUGCCAGGUAAGAAGAUUCAGUUAAACUCAUGUGUGGUUAUAUGUGUUAUGUGAAAAAUACAUAGAGAUAAACACACACAUGUAUAUAAAUUCACUGAUGCAAACAUAUGGUGGGUAAGCAUUAAUUGAGUUUAGGGUACUGUAAAUUAUACCAUGCCUGGUUCAUUUCACAACGUGGGUUUAAUCAUUCUCAUUCAGCCUGUUGUUACCUGUACUCUUAUUUUACAUUUUAUUCAUCUAAUUUUUUAAAUGUUUAUUUAUUUAUUUUUGAGAAAGAAAGAGCCCAAGCAGGGGAGGGGCAGAGAGAGAGAGACACAGAAUCGGAAGCAGGCCCCAGGCUCUGAGCUGUCAGCACAGAGCCCGACGUGGGGCUCGAACCCACGGACCGCGAGAUCAUGACCUGAGCCGAAGUCGGGCGCUCAACCGACUGAGCCACCCAGGCGCCCCAAGUUUACAUUUUAUUUUUAAAUAUUUCCAACUUACGUAAGAUGACAGGGAGUAUAGACAUCGACAGAGCUCUCGCUCCCCAGGUUUAACCAAUGAGGAUAUAUGUCACCUUCCACGUUGGCCACCCCUCCUGUGUUUAAACACGGCCGCCCCAGCUCCUUGGGUUCAGCAGACUUCCGGGACAAUGCCUACCCCAUCUUAUUGCCCACGCCCACCGCACCAUGCCUGGACAACUGCAGCCCGUGUUCUCCUCCGGUUGUAGCAAUCCACCCCCUUCCUCUCCGAAGGGAACUCAGUGUGGUGAGGCAGAACAUCAAAGUUCAUUUUUGUUUCUCUUGGAGCUGCAACACUGUGAGAUGGAUGGGGUGAGCCCUGCAUGACAGAUGGGACCCAGAGAAUGGGAAAGGUCACCAGCUUACCCAGACCGAGGAGAGGCUUUUCCUGCUGGCUUCAAAGAAAGUAAGUUUCUAGGCCAUGUUAGGACCUGAGGGUGGCCUUGAGGAGAUGAAUGGACUGUCAGCCAGCGAAGAAACAAAGACCUCAGUACCGCAACCAAAACUCAAAAUCUACCAACAACCUCAAGGAGGAUGAAAGGAGAGCCCAGACUCAGAAAGAACUCGGUCCAGCCAACACGUUGAUUUUAGCCUCAUAAGAAAGACCCUGAGCGGAAAAUCCAGUUGUUCUGUGCCAAAACUUCUGACCUAUGAAAACUAUGACAUAAUAAAUGGGUGUUGGUUUAGCCUCCAAGUUUGUGCUAAUUUGUUACGUAACUAUAGAAAGUGGAUAUACAACUGGUUGUUCUGAAAUGGUUGAUUGAGGACCUCUGAAACCCGCUUCUCCAUAACGGCAAUGAGAACCCUAGUGAAAACUGUCAAAAUUAACUGUUUCAUAACUGAAAAAUCACCAGUGGCUUGCAACAACCCCAGUAGCAUUUACUCAAGAAAAAUGGCCGAAUCUCAACAAGGACAGGGAGUAUUGUGGCAUUUUAACGGGACUUAAGCCCAUCACCCUCUCCCCAGCACUUCAGUAGCACCGAAAGCCAAUAGCCUCACAAUUACAGUAGCUGUGAAAAAUAGCAGAUUAGCAGCUACUGAAGAAGGCAAAAUGGCUUUGGAGCUUCUAGGAAGUCCCAUUCCUAGAAACUGUCGCCAUGUGAUCUGUCUGGCAGUUCACGGAAAAGCUCCACUUUCAAGAAUGCCUUUAUCUGAUCUAAUCAGAGCGUGCUUUCUGAGGAGCCCCACCCACAGAGUAUUUGUCAAAUAUAAUCAGUGGCAAUUGUUUAAUAUCACAGCUGCCUGAGGAUGUGUUAACAGUUGGAGCUAACAAGUGGCAAACCAAAAGUAUUAAAAAGAAAAGCAAAACUGGGUAAUGAGAUAUCAUAGGCAUCUUUGAAAAGCUCCAGCAUAUUCCCGGGAGUCUAGAAGCCCAUGUGCAUAUUCAGGACUGUUGGGUGUGCCCAGGAAAGCCUUGAGAAAGUCCUACUCUCACCUCUGGUUAUCUUGAGUCUCUGUGUGAGCAAGGAGUUGACUACAAACUAGAGUUGUAAAUUGCCUGCCAGAGCACUGAAAACAUAACUCUACACACACACACACACACACACACACACACACACACACACACACACCUUAACAAGGCUGGAAGAUUAUUAGUUUGAGUAAUUUUAUGGAAACCUCUUGUCCAGUCAUCAGUUAACCACUAGGCUAAAUGAAUAGAAACUUCAGUAAGUUACACAUGACAUAGAAUACAUAUUUUACACAAAUAGUCCAGGAAUGUCACUAAAUUAGCAAACAGUGGCAACAAUAACAAAGCUCAGAGAAGAGAAGGAAUCUGAGUUUCAGAACUGACAUGCCAUAUUAUUUUAAAUGUCCAGUUUUCAGUAACAAUAGCAACAAAUACAAGACAUGAAAUGAAAUAGGAAAGUAUGGCCCAUACACAGGGAAAAAAAAUAGUUUACAGAAACUGUCCCUGAGAAAGCCCAAGACACUGGACUCACUAGGCAAAGACUUAAAUCAGUUAUCACUGAUAUAUUCCAUUCCACUUGGUCAUGAUGUGUUAUCCUUUUUUAUAUAUGCCUGCAUUUGAUUUGCUUAUGUUUUGUGAAGAAUUUUUGCAUUUAUCUUGAUGAGGGAUAUUAGUCUAAAGGUUUUUGCUAUUUGGGAGGCAUUUCAAAAUAAAGCAAACCCACGGUUUUUCCCGAGUGUCUAUUCUGUCCACGAAGCAUAAGCGCAUGCACUUGUUUAAUUGCUAUGUGACUUUGGACAAGUUAUGUGACCUCUCUGAGCCUCAAUGUCCUCAUCUAUAAAAUGGGAAUAAUAUUAAUAUCUGCUUCAUUGGGUUGUUAUGAAGAUUGAAUGAGAAAAUAUGUAUUACGAUAGGUUGAAUUGUUGUCUCCAAAAAAAGAUAUGCUGAAGUCCUAACCCUCAAUAUCCCAGAAUGGGACUUUAUUUGGAAAUGGAGACAUCGUAGAUGUGAUUAGUUAAGAUGACAGUAAGACAUGAGUAAGGUAGGCUCUUCCCCCAAUAUGACCAGUGUCCUUAUAAAAAGGUAACUAAGUGACGACACAGACA